UACGUAGGGUGCGAGUGUUGUCCGGAAUUACUGGGCGGAAAGAGCUCGUAGGUGGUUUGUCGCGUUGUUCGUGAAAACUCACAGCUUAACUGUGGGCGUGCGGGCGAUACGGGCAGACUGGAGUACUGCAGGGGAGACUGGAAUUCCUGGUGUAGCGGUGGAAUGCGCAGAUAUCAGGAGGAACACCGGUGGCGAAGGCGGGUCUCUGGGCAGUAACUGACGCUGAGGAGCGAAAGCGUGGGGAGCGAACAGG
rnacentral:rRNA from 1 species